rnacentral:rRNA from 1 species
UAUUUCACAAUGGGGGAAACCCUGAUGCAGCGACGCCGCGUGAGUGAAGAAGUAUUUCGGGAUGUAAAGCUCCAGCAGCAGGGAAGAUAAUGACGGUACCUGACUAAGAAGCCCCGGCUAACUACGUGCCAGCAGCCGCGGUAAUACGUAGGGGGCAAGCGUUAUCCUGAUUUACUGGGUGUAAAGGGUGCGUAGGUGGCAGGGCAAGUCAGAUGUAAGAGCCCGGGGCUCAACCCCGGUACUGCAUUUGAAGCUGUCCAGCUGGAGUGCAGGAGAGGUAAGCGGAAUUCCUAGUGUAGCGGUGAAAUGCGUAGAUAUUAGGAGGAACACCAGUGGCGAAGGCGGCUUACUGGACUGUAACUGACACUGAGGCACGAAAGCGUGGGGAGCA